CUACAAUAAUGACAGAAACGUCCGACACUGACUUGCCUGAACACCCGUAGCCUUAUUUAGGCGAACUUUUUGAAAUGGUGGAAAGGAAGACGGAUUUGUUUUACUUUAAGUGUCUUCUCUGCCUGCCGAAGAACAAUAUUAUAUCCUCGUUCAAGAAUUCUCCCUCGAAUUUAAAGAAACACGUCGAGAGAAAGCAUGCAAGUGUUGUGGAUAGGUAUGACGCUUUGACUGCCCCACGCAAAAGAAAAGCAAAGAACCAAGACGCUCCUUAAGUUAGGCCUGGACUACAUUAAGGACCAUCUGGAGGAAGACCCUUCACAUCAAUUGCCAGCUAAUGGCUCCAGUGCAUCAGAUGAUGA